ensembl:lncRNA
GGGAGGGAGAGGGAACUGGGAUUGACAUGUAAAACAAGAUUGUUUCUAAUUUAAAUUAAAAAUUAUUAAAAAGAAAAGAAAACACAGAAACAAAAAAAAUAUAAAAGAAAAAGGAACAGUGAACCUCAGUGGUAAGUUAGACAAUGUUCCCAAUGGGAUGGUAGACACAGGAAAACAUGAAUAAUAGCAUAAUUUAUCCAGGUAAGUGCAAUAUAACAGUCAAAAGAUUAAGUCUUCCAAGGCUUUUGACUAGAUAGUUCUCUAUCUCAGAACUUAAAGAAAGAAAGCUAAGAGGAUAUUUGAAAAUGUGGAGUUCUAUAUUCUCUCUGUGUGAGAGGACCUCUAUCUACAAGAACCCCUUUAGAGAUGAAAAUACUUCAUACUGAUAGACAUCACUUAUCUGCUAAAGUGUUAUUAUGGAAUAACGCAAUGUCAAGGGGAAAAGUUCUCAAUAUUAGAUGGACAAAGUCUAUAUAAAAGUACAUAAAAUUUAUCCUAUAGGAAAAAUCAUUUGUAUACCUGCCUGUAUGGAAAAUUGGGAAAGUUACCUACCAUCUCAAAACAUUUACCAUUUCUCUACUGUGCAAUUUAAAGAAAAUAUUUCUUUUAGAUGCCUUGAAAUAUGGAAUUCAUUAUUUCCUAUUUUCAUCCUACCAUGCAAUAGAAUACCAAACUCUAACUUUUCCCUAAUUACAUCUGUUACCUUGGCAGUAUCUCCAUACCCCCUGUCCUUUCCAGUAUGUGGUAACCUCUGAUUUACUUUGGACCUCAUGAAAUACAAUAUGAAUAGAGAUUUAUUUUUAUGUAUAUGUGUUUAUGCAUUUAUAUACACACACCAGAGGUGUGUGUGUGUGUGUGUGUGUGUGUGUGUGUGUGUGUGUGUGUGUGUGUGUGUGUGUGCCCAUGGAUGCCAAAAGAGGCUGUUAGAUCCCCUGGAGCUUGAGUUAUAGGCAGUUGUGAGCUGCCCAUUUGUGGGUGCUAGAAUCUAAACUCAGGUCCUCUGGAAGUGUUCUUAACCACUGAGAUUUCUCUCCAUUCCCAAGAUCAGAAAAAAAGAAAAAAAGAAAGAUUCUCCAGGUUCUAAUUUAGAAGGCAUGUUAAUAGGUCAAUCGGUGCUAAUCUCAUACAAAUAAUUGUGAAAAGAAGAAAUGGGAAAUUCCUCAGUUCUCUAUUUUGUCUUAUAAUGAGCAGGUGAUGGGAGAGGCUUGUUCUUUGCUGUCUUCUUUUUCUUUAAUUCUCACCAUGGUUUCUUCAGGAAGAGCUUGUGUGCAAAUGCAGUUGACUGCAAAGGACUGGUACAGCUGGAAUGGAGGUGUACUGUAGGAGGAAAGUGGAAAAUGCUCAUGUCCCUCAUGCAUCUCUCUUUGGUGGCCUUUGAUGCACUUUUGAGCAUUUACUGGGAGCCUGAAGAACUUAUCCCAGUCUGAUAUAUAAAGCAACAAGCUUUCCUCUGAGAAGUAAAUCCACAUAUCUUUUGAGUAGUACCAGUAUUUAGAAAUAACCCUCCUAAGACAUGGCAAGCAUACACCUGGGCUCAGGAGUUUACAAUUUCUAUCAAGACAAUGUUGAUUUUAACCCUCCUGGUAAAAUGAUUAUGCUGUCAUAUUUUCACAGGGAAAAUCUGUUGGAGCCAGUUUUAACACAUCAUUACCCAUAAUUAAGGCCACAAAAGAUUUAUUCAAGGGCUUUUACAGAGGGUUCAGUAUUUUGCAUAUAGCAGUGGUUCAUUUUUAACACCAGAAAGGGUAAUUUCCAGCUUGGUAACCUGGAACCAAAGGUUACGGCAUCCAGGUAACAGGAGGAAUAGAGCCACCUGAGUUAUCAUGCAGUAAAAGGAUAAACUAUCUGGAGUUUUAAGUCCUGGAAGAACAAAGAAAGCUUUGAAAGUAGAUGUUGAAGCAGACGUUUAGAACUAAAUUGUCUUCAAGAAACAAUAUCAAGACUGUAAUUGAACUCCACUGAGGUUCUGAUUUUAGUGCAACCUAGUUCCAAACCAAUUAUUUUCUGUUCAAACCAAUCAGUUGGUAGGUGUGUAGGGCCUUCAUGUAAUUUGUAAGGUUCAGUUAAAAAUGAAACUGUAAUGCCUCCUUGUUCUAAAAACACUAACAAUAUUCUGUGAAUGGGGCUAAAAUAGAAAAAAAUUCUUUUAUGUUUUUUCUGACUUAUCAUAGUAUUUCUAUUUAAUACAAUCCUAGGUAAAAAUAUCAAAGUUAUAAAACAGCAUGAAUUUUAGAGGUCAUAUACAAUGCUCCUACUAACCCAAACUCAUCGCCAUUUAAUCCUUGUGUAGAAUCACCAAAAUUACAGAAUUUGUAUGUUGUAGUCAUGCAAGGCUAUGUGUUUUGUUCUGAGCCAUGGAAGCCUUCCUCAAAACAACACAAUCCUUUUAACUGUGAUUUGCACACAUCCUAUUAAUGUGCUAUUUUGUCUUUUCCUUUCCUUCCGUGCCCACAUUUAGCUUACGGAGAAAAGUAACAUGACUGAGAAAUGGUGACAGGCUUCCUUUCCCAUUUCUGGUUCUGAGAACACCAUUGGCUCCUUUCUGUAUUUGAGACAAUUUCUGAUUCAAGUGGAGACUGAGUGUCCCUCAGCUGUGAGCUUUCCCUCCCAGUUUAACAUUCUCUGGGUCCUGUAUUCUUGACACAGGACUUGCAAAACACACUGGCUAUGCUGACCAAGGACCUUUCCAGCUCCAAAGCCACUGACUCACGCUCCUGAGCAGCUGGUUUCCCACAGGAAAGGAGGUAGGUAGGGCAGUUUAAGGAUGCAUUUAUUUUAAAGACUCAUAAAAGAAAUUGCCUUGGCAUGAAUGAAAUGAGUAAGAGGAUUGUGACUCCCUAGUUGGGAGAGAUUAUCUUCGAUUUCGCAAGGAAUCCCUCUGCAGAGUCAGUCAAAUAAAUAAACCGAAGGAGCACCGGCAGCUGGCAAUUCUACUGAGAAGCAACAAGACCUCUCAAAGAUUGCGGGGCCUUUGUCAAGUCAUGGAAGUUGGAGAAGGACGGAAGACCCGUAAGAAUCACGAGGCUCGGGAUGACAACUGUGAGCAGAAGCGAUUGGCGCCUGGAGUGAACAUGCUCUCAUUGUCUUGGCAUCGAGUCCAGAUGAUGGGAGUGUGAGAUCGUCUUGAGGAUGGGAAUAACGCUAAGCCUGGAGGAGAGAGAGUAAACUAGAAAGAAAUAAAAUUGAGACGCGGCACAUAAUAUGCUAUUUCUUGAACACUCAAGUUUGUAUAUUGAAAAUUGUAGCUGUCACAUGACAGAAAUGGUGCAAAUAGCCACAUUAAUAUAAUAUAUGGGAAUUAAAUAUUGUUUUUUCUGGGGAAAUGAGAUUUAAUAGAAAAUAAUUUUUGCAUUGACAGCUUUACAUAUUUAUUUCACCUGUAACUGCUUUCCCUCUGUUAAAGGAGUGCGCUGUUUAUUUCUGUCAUUUAAGGAACAUUUAUUUCUGUUCUAUAAACACAAAUAUUUAGCAGCAAUGUAUAAAAAAUGAGUUCUAGUCAACUGCAUAAAUGACAAUGGUACUGUGCUUCAUCUUGUAAUUCACAAACUUACUAAAAAUUAUACAAAUGUGGCAUGAUACAAUAUAAAGUCAAAAUUUCUAAAGUAGUUGUAAAGUCAUAGAUGUCUAUUUGUAUAAAAUGAUAAUGUUUAACAUAUCCUUGAAUUCUCAGAACACUUCCAUAAAGCAAUUGUUUUUACUUUCUGUGGUUGAUAAUUAAAAUAUGUCUGAAACAUCUGAGGGAUACACAAUAUUAAAACAUUUUGAAGUCUUUGAAAAUCACAGUCAAGACUUUUAUGGAAAAGUAAAGAAGUAUGAGCUCAUUACUUAUGUGUCACAGUCUGAGGUGACUGCAGGAUAUCUUCUACCCCACAUUCCUUUAAAAAACCAAUAUCAAAUUAAUAUACAUAUAUAUAUAUAUUAAUCUGAGGAGAGCAUUUAAUGUUUAUCACAAAUUUACGUAAUUGCAUUAUAUAAGAUUUUACUGCCUAUUUUUCAACACCCUUUACUUUCAUAUGUCUUUCUUUGUCUUUUGUAAAUCAUAACCUGGGGCUGAGUCCCUGGACAAGAAGCACCAUCUUCUGACAUCACCUUAAUAAACAUUCCAUGUUAGGCAUGUCUCUUCUGCCUCUGUCACCAUCAGGUGCAGACGCAGUCGUUUUAGUGUCUAUUUUUGUCCAACAUGCUUCUUGUUUGCUUUGCUAGUCACAGCAGGUUAUCUUUGCAUUCAUUUUGCUGACUCUCACUUUUCCUCUUGCUCUGUAUAAUGCACACACAACACAGUCCAGCCUUUUUAGCCAGCAGAGUGUGAAUCACAGAACAACGUGAAAGGCUUGUCUUUCACUGCAGCUGUGACCCAACUUCCUUCCCGGUUGUUCUAAGUGCCCACUUUGUUUUCUACCCCUUUCCUUUCUUUCCACAUCCCUCACCAAUGAUGAUAUUUUGCUUGUCCAUGCUUAACUGCCUUUUGAGGCUCUUCUUUUCCUAUAUUUUCUGUAAGGACAACUCAAUUCAUUUCCACAGAAACGAAUUUAUUUAUUUAUUUAUUUAUUUAUUUAUUUAUUUAUUUAUGUUCUGGUAUUGCAACUUGUGUCACAGAUACAGCAUAGAAUUCACUGUUCAUUUGGAUUAUAAUUACUCAUCGACACACUUUGGGUAGGAGGAUGCUAAAACCUAGGAUAAAACGUUAAUAUGCUUUCAUGUCAUUAAAUCUUUGGAUAAAAGAACCGACUUUUGUGUACUUAACAAAUGGCUUUGAUGAAAAAGGAGUGUAUAAGAACAAGUGAAAAGGAUACAAAAAUUGCACAAAAUCAAGAGUAUGGAGAUGUGGCCAGGCAAACCAUUCUGUAAAAGCUACGUUGUAAAUAUGUUUGCCUUUGUAGGUCAUAGUCAAUGUAAACUUCAUCAUUUUAUUAAAGAAGCAGCCAGUGACAAUAUACAAGUGUCUGUAAGUGUGUGUGUGCUUGCACACACAUGUGUGUGUAUGUGUGUGUAAUAUCUAGUUUCAACAAAUAUCCUAAUGAAGUAAAAAAAUAUCACCUGGUCUUUGCAUAAAUGUCACAAUUGGUAGAAUCAGUGUUUGAUAUUUCUCCAUCAAUUCAAUUCAUUUCCAUUUUGCUGCUGGAUGAUUUCACGAUGUCUCUUACUUCAUAUUCACCAUGUCUAAAGUAUAAGUAAUUCUCUUGUGCCAAACAACAGUGUUAUUUAUUUCAAAGACUGGAUCUUCCCCCUGGACUGUAACAUCUAAAUCCAU